UAUGGGGGGGGCAAGCGUUGUUCGGAAUUACUGGGCGUAAAGGGCUCGUAGGCGGCCAACUAAGUCCGACGUGAAAUCCCCAGGCUUAACCUGGGAACUGCGUCCGAUACUGGCAGGCUUGAAUCCGGGAGAGGGAUGUGGAAUUCCAGGUGUAGCGGUGAAAUGCGUAGAUAUCUGGAGGAACACCGGUGGCGAAGGCGGCAUCCUGGACCGGCAUUGACGCUGAGGAGCGAAAGCUAGGGGAGCAAACGGG
rnacentral:rRNA from 1 species